AACGAACGCUGGCGGCAUGCCUAACACAUGCAAGUCGAACGAGACCUUCGGGUCUAGUGGCGCACGGGUGCGUAACGCGUGGGAACCUGCCCUUAGGUUCGGAAUAACUCCCCUAAAGGGGUGCUAAUACCGGAUAAUGUCUUCGGACCAAGGAUUUAUCGCCUUUGGGUGGGCCCGCGUUGGUUUAGCUAGUUGGUAGGGUAAAAGCCUACCAAGGCGACGAUCCAUAGCUGGUCUGAGAGGAUGAUCAGCCACACUGGGACUGAGACACGGCCCAGACUCCUACGGGAGGCAGCAGUGGGGAAUAUUGGACAAUGGGCGAAAGCCUGAUCCAGCAAUGCCGCGUGAGUGAUGAAGGCCUUAGGGUUGUAAAGCUCUUUUACCCGGGAUGAUAAUGACAGUACCGGGAGAAUAAGCACCGGCUAACUCCGUG
rnacentral:rRNA from 1 species